CAGAGUAGGAAGCCCUGCGUGAAGUGCUGCCAGAAUGGGGAGUUGUGUGGCAGACGAAGGACGGUUCCGUCCGCGAUAGGAUUUCCGCACCCGCUGC
rnacentral:ncRNA from 1 species